rnacentral:rRNA from 1 species
GACGUAGGGCGCGAGCGUUGUCCGGAUUUAUUGGGCGUAAAGAGCUCGUAGGCGGCUUGUCGCGUCGACCGUGAAAACUCGCAGCUCAACUGCGAGCCUGCGGUCGAUACGGGCAGGCUAGAGUUCGGUAGGGGAGACUGGAAUUCCUGGUGUAGCGGUGAAAUGCGCAGAUAUCAGGAGAACACCGAGUGGCGAAGGCA